rnacentral:tRNA from 1 species
GUCUGGGUGGCUCAGUCGGUUAAGCAUCUGACUUCGGCUCAGGUCAUGAUCUUGCAGUUCGUGGGUUCGAGCCCCUCAUUGGACU